UCCAAAGCGGUCGCAUUUCAAUUAGUUCGUGCACUUAUGAGUCUUUAGUCGCCAUCUUGUUUGAGGGCGAAAUGCGAUCUCUAUAUGUACAUCAAGAGUCUCUCACAUAGAGACAUCAUAAUUAUUACAACAAGAUGGCGACUAAAGACUCAUAAGUGCACGAACUAAUUGAAAUGCGACCGCUUUGGA